rnacentral:lncRNA from 1 species
UGGUGGAGUCAUUACUAUUGCUCCAGGUAGCUAUCAUUGCCUUUUCUUUUUUUGAACUUCUUCUGACCUUUUUUGAGCUUGGGAUAGUCCGAUUGAAGUGACCUGACUUCUUGCAUUCAUAACAGAUGAUGGGCUGCUCUUUUUUUUUUACUUGGCUCCUCCUUAACUGAUGGUCUUCUCUUGAUCCCUUGUCUUCUUUUUCUCAUGAAAUAUCUAAAUUUUUUGAUGAUUAAUGCUAGGUCCUCAUCUUCUUCACUAUUUUUCAAUUUUUUUGAAUAUUCUUCUUCUUGCACUGUUGUUUUGAGAGCAAUUGUCUUCUUUCUUUUGGUCUCUUCUUCAGAAUGUUGCUUCAUGAUCAGCUCAUGGGUCAUGAGGGAUCCAAGUAGCUCCUCCAAAGAUA